rnacentral:rRNA from 1 species
AGAGUUUGAUGGUGGCUCAGAUUGAACGCUGGCGGCAGGCCUAACACAUGCAAGUCGAGCGGAAACGAAGAGGUGCUUGCACCUUUGGCGUCGAGCGGCGGACGGGUGAGUAAUGCUUGGGAAUAUGCCUUAUGGUGGGGGACAACAGUUGGAAACGACUGCUAAUACCGCAUGAUGUCUACGGACCAAAGUGGGGGACCUUCGGGCCUCACGCCAUAAGAUUAGCCCAAGUGGGAUUAGCUAGUUGGUGAGGUAAUGGCUCACCAAGGCGACGAUCCCUAGCUGGUUUGAGAGGAUGAUCAGCCACACUGGGACUGAGACACGGCCCAGACUCCUACGGGAGGCAGCAGUGGGGAAUAUUGCACAAUGGGCGCAAGCCUGAUGCAGCCAUGCCGCGUGUGUGAAGAAGGCCUUCGGGUUGUAAAGCACUUUCAGUAAGGAGGAAAGGUUAAGUGUUAAUAGCACUUAGCUGUGACGUUACUUACAGAAGAAGCACCGGCUAACUCCGUGCCAGCAGCCGCGGUAAUACGGAGGGUGCGAGCGUUAAUCGGAAUUACUGGGCGUAAAGCGUACGCAGGCGGUUUGUUAAGCGAGAUGUGAAAGCCCCGGGCUCAACCUGGGAACUGCAUUUCGAACUGGCAAACUAGAGUGUGAUAGAGGGUGGUAGAAUUUCAGGUGUAGCGGUGAAAUGCGUAGAGAUCUGAAGGAAUACCGAUGGCGAAGGCAGCCACCUGGGUCAACACUGACGCUCAUGUACGAAAGCGUGGGGAGCAAACAGGAUUA